rnacentral:rRNA from 1 species
UACGUAGGGUGCAAGCGUUGUCCGGAAUUAUUGGGCGUAAAGAGCUCGUAGGCGGUUCGUCGCGUCGGCUGUGAAAUCCCGAGGCUCAACCUCGGGUCUGCAGUCGAUACGGGCGGACUGGAGUUCGGCAGGGGAGACUGGAAUUCCUGGUGUAGCGGUGAAAUGCGCAGAUAUCAGGAGGAACACCGGUGGCGAAGGCGGGUCGCUGGGCCGAUACUGACGCUGAGGAGCGAAAGCGUGGGGAGCAAACAGG